rnacentral:rRNA from 1 species
GUCUACGUUCAUACCACCCUGAACACACCCGAUCUUGUCUGAUCUCAGAAGCUAAACAAGGUUUGGCCUUGUUAGUACUUUGAUGGGAAUGUUCAUAGACUGAGAAGUAUUAUACAGCGGCUACU